GCAGCGAAGUUUGUUCUCACAGCUUUACUGCAGACCACUAACUGGAGAGGCCCACACUCAUUGCUUCACCACUUCAACAUUGUGAUUUUUCCAACGUUUCCAGCAGUACCAUUAAAUUCAUCGCCAUGGAGAUGCGUUGGUCAGCUCUGACCCUGCUGCUGGUUCUGUGUGUCAUUCCAUACACUGAUGCUCAGACGGAAAAAGAAUUCAUCAAAAAGCAUAUUAGACCUUUACUAAACUGUAAUGAAACCAUGAAAGAAAUCAAUGGCAGAGGAAAUUGCAAAUAUAUCAAUACCUUCAUACUGGAUGAGAUUAGCAAUGUGAGGCAGGUGUGUAUGGGUGACAAAUUUCAUCAUAAUAAUUCUCAAUGUUAUCAAAGCAGGAAGAAGUUUAAUAUAAUUGAAUGCAAAGUUCUCAAUUCCAGUUCACCCAGUUGUAUUUACAAUCGUGUAAAUGCAAACAAGCCCAUUAAAAUAACAUGUGAUGAAAGCAACAAACCAGUGCAUUUUGGAUGUUAGCAUACAAAGCCAAUAGUGUUUUUUAAUUAAACGAUUAAUUUACUUUAUUUACCUAAGCUGUAACAAAAACAUUUAAUCAAAAAGUUUAGCUUCAUAUAUAAAUUUCCACUUGAUUAAAUGUGUUUUUCAAGAAACAAAUGAGUCGUUAAAAUCUAAUAUUAAAAAGGUUUCUGAGCAACUA